rnacentral:rRNA from 1 species
GUGCUGAAAGCAUCUAAGCAUGAAGCCCCCCUCAAGAUGAGAUUUCCCAACUUCGGUUAUAAGAUCCCUCAAAGAUGAUGAGGUUAAUAGGUUCGAGGUGGCAGCAUGGUGACAUGUGGAGCUGACGAAUACUAAUCGAUCGAAGACUUAAUCAAAUU